CCUGCGCACAGCGUUACGUGGAACGCUCGCGGUUCCCGGAGGUGGGUGCCCGGUGGGCUGGGACGUGGACUGUGGGGAAAUCAGCCUUGAGAGGUGCGAGGCCUCUAGAGAGGGCAGUGUUCCAAAACAUCAAGUAACAACUCAAGAAGACGAUGACAGACAUUUAGGAAAACAUACUCAAAUCAGUGGUUUAAACUAAUAUAAUCCACAUACCAAAAGAGUCUGAAAGAACCACAUCCUUUUCAAGUAGAGAUACUGGGGAAGGUUUGUUGAAUGCUAAACGGUGGAAGCUGACUGAAGCAUCACAAACAGAUCCAGGGAAUCCGAUGCUCCACUGGUCUUCCUGAAUGCAAUGUGAAGGGUCUAGCAAUGAGCUGUGUGGGAUGACCGUGUACCCUUUGUGUCCUGGAAAAGAAACAGAAGGAGCAUGAUUUCUAAUUCAUGUUAGAAAACUGGUAUGUGGUCUACAGGUACUGUGAUCUAUACUAUUAUAAACAAAAUCUAAAAGUCUUGGUAAAAUUAUUCUGUUUGCAUGAGGCAAGGAGACCUCAUACAGAGGUUCUGCAGUGGGCCUUACUGUAAAUGUAUUUAAAACACAGGAUCUGAAGCAUAUGUGAAAGUCACAAUGAAACAUGAGGAGUGCAACAAAUAACUUUGUUAAGACACACAAAAAGAUUCAAAUUCAGGCAGAAUGACUAUAGAUUCUGUACUCUUAACUAAUAAACUGCCAACUAACAUUAAAUAUUAAGCAGAAUUAAGUAAAUCAAUAAGCAUUACACAAAGAUUGAUAUGUCAGAAGCAUCCAAAUGUUCUCCCUCUUAAAAGCCACAACAAUUAGGAGACAGAUAUUAUCCACAAUAGUUCUCAGUCCAUCUAAAUACUGAGAUGAAUGUUCUUUUGUCUUUCAAAAAUAAUUAUAAACAUCUCUAAGUUUACCUGUCAAAUGGCAUACUCCUAAAAAGUCUUAUUCAGUAACACACACGUACACACACACACACACACACACACACAGAGUUUUAUUUAGACAAGUCUUUAUCUCUAAAAAUUUACAGCCACUAAAUUCUGGAAACCAUGAAUAUGUGCAGAAAUUGUGACAUACCCUGGUCUUCAAAUGCUAAAAAAAAAUUAACUUACAAUAUAUAUUGAAUUUUCUAAAUAUAUUAUUUGAACAAAACAAAAUUGAGAAUUUAAAUUGAGAAAAAAAAGAGUUAAUAGCAGGCUUGUCACUCCUAUUCUUUAAAAGUAUUGUAGCAAGGGUAUAUCCAUUCUAUCUACAUUGUUUACACAAAUAAACCUGGGAGGUAUGUCUCUGGGGCAUGACUGGCUGUAGAAUUUGGGUGGUCAUGAAAAUAAUUUCAUAUCUGUACAAUUGAAUAUAAAAUGGAAGAGUUCUAAAACUGGAAUAUCUUCCUUUUGUGAUCAAUGUUCCCAUAUACACUGCUCAAAAUUUACCAUUAAUAUAAAAUCAAAGUGCAAAUGAGAUAGAAAAAAGACACUUUUGGAAGCUGGCUCUGACAGUUUGAUGCUGUUCCAGAAAAGAAUGUCUCAUCUGUGUCAGAUGUUAAACUCUAUCUAUUAAAACAUUAUUAAAGUUUGGUGCUGGGUAAGGUCUAUAAUGCUGAUAAAUAUGCUGGAACAAAUCACCUCUAUAUUAACACAAAUAUAUUUUCAAUGUAUUCGAAUCAUAAAUUGAAAAAUAGUGUUACCUGUAAGCGAACCGUCAACAUCAAUCAGUACUGCCUCAUGUUCCCAUCGAAAGCCAGCCUUAUUAGGUGUGUAAAAAUACUGAAUGUCAACAAAUUUUGCACUCCAACCUCCACAUCUGUCAUUACAAACACCAGUGAUGGAUGUCACUCCCAAAGCUACACAAUUGGGACGGUCAAAGUUCAUAAAAUGUAAUGACGAUACAGUCAAGCCUUCACUAAAUGGGAGCACUAGGCCCUUUGAUGUGCAAAAUGCAGACCCCAUUCCCAGUUCAUCAAGAUGACCAACAAUUUUGGCACUUUUAAUCACUGCUCCAUUAGUUUCACCCCACCCUCCAAUAUAGGGAGCCAGGAUCCUCUUGGUCUCAAUUCCAGCCUCAUAAUUGUUUACCAUCACAAAGUUAUGAAACUGCAGGGCACCUCCGUUAACCCAUUCAGCUCCUUUUUGACAAUUCCAUGUAGUAAGUGAAUUAAAAAUUGCAGGCACUGGCACUGAAGAAGUACAAGAUCCCGUCUGCAUGGGGAAAUAUUCCUCAAAGAUCCACAGUCCAAACCAACCUUGAGAAUGAACAGUAUUAUUAAAGAAUUCUCCAAGAGGAACUCUUUUUUGGCAAAUAUUCUGGUCAUAAGAUGGUCCAUCAGGGUGGUCAUUCAUUCGGUACCAAAAGCCAAAAUGAGUACCACCAGCAGCUGCAUUGUGUCGUAUGGUGUUGUUUGGGUUGGUUACCCAAAAUGCAGCCGGGGUCACAUCAUCAUUCAGAAGACUAGUACUUUGCUGAACAAAUACUGCCAAGUUAUAUUGCAGAAUGUUGCCAUGUUCAAUACCAUCUUCUAUAAAAAAUGCUCCUCCCUUGAUAUCAUAUAUAAUAUUCCUCUCAACCAGAAGAUGAUGUGUGUUAUGGAUGGUAACAGCUCUAUUAUAGGUUUGGUGAAUUGCACAACCUCUUACAUAAGAUUUAAACUGUAAAUCUCCAAGUAGGUGCCAAUGUAUUGGAUAUCGCCCCAACCGGAAAGCCUGGCCAGCAUGGAAUACCUGUCAAGCCCAGAAAUCACAGUUAUUAAUCUACAUAGACUCACAGUUUGCCCUGCUCUUUUUUCCUUGGUUCAAAAUUACAAAUUAAUUACUAAUACAUUAAUAUCUUCCAUAUUAUUUAUUGUUUGAAAAUGUUAUUUUAUUCUCAAUCCAGCUUAUUUUAGACAAUGUAUAAAAGACCAUGCUUGUGAGAAAAUGAAUGAAUAAACGAACAAAAGCCA